UAGCAGGUACAGAAUUCUAUCUGUACAACUUGCAUUUUUAAAUAAAGUGCUCUUGUUCAUAUUAGGGGGUCGUGAAGAUCCUACUCGCGAGUAUUUGCACUCGGAAGGGUUAUGAUGACUAUAGAAUAAUCAGACAUAGUACGAUAAGGUUGUAUGUCUAAAGGGAAACAGCCCAGAACAAGAGUUAAUAAGGUUCCAAAAUUAUUGUUAAGUGAAAAUAAGGAAGUUUUAAUCCAAUACGGCCAGGAAAUAGGCUUAGAAGCGGCCAUUUUUUAAAGAUCUCGUAACAGAGCACUGGUUUAGUAAAUUAUUUUAAUAAUUUAUAUUGAUAAAAGCACCAAAAAUUUAACGGAUCUAAACAAUAUACCGAUACCUUGUCCAUAUUUACCUAUAUAUCUAAGUUAUAUAUUGUAUUUAUGGGGUAGCGGAACAUUGGGCAAAUCUAAGAUUUUUUCUUUUUAAGACUUAAUAUAAGAUAACCCAAGUGAUAAUGCUGACAUGAGUAACGAUAAAGGGAAUGAACUAUUCCCUCGCCUAAAACUUAUGGAAUUUACUUAAAGUAACGGCCUCUAAGUUUAUGAUCUUUUGCUUUUGUAGAAAAUUAUAUUUUAAAAUAAACUAAUAAGAUGAUUAAAAUAUAAGCUUUUUACAGGGAUAAAAGGAGCCUAAAGGACUAAACGAUGAGAAAAUCUGUUAACACUUACAAAAAAUAACCUUUGUGCAUAGACUUGAAUAAUAUAGGUUUGUGUGUGAAAAGUGACGAAGGUGCUGGAAAAGUGUAAGUGAUGCAUCAAAGGAUGGUAGGCGGGAAGACGCAAUCCCGGUUGCGUCCUACUGUCUACUACUUUGAGAUGGUAGUUGGAGUCAAUCUCCUGCUAUACGACCGUACCUAGAAACUUACCCCAGUAGUAUAAGA
rnacentral:rRNA from 1 species